rnacentral:rRNA from 1 species
AACGAACGCUGGCGGCGUGCCUAACACAUGCAAGUCGAACGAGAAAGGCCCCUUCGGGGGCCCGGUACAGUGGCGCACGGGUGAGUAACACGUGGGUAAUCUGCCCUCGAGUGGGGAAUAACCCAGGGAAACUUGGGCUAAUACCGCAUAACGUCCUGUCUUCACAUGCGGAUAGGAUCAAAGCUGGGGGUCGCAAGACCUGGCGCUCGAGGAGGAGCCCGCGGCUGAUUAGCUAGUUGGUGGGGUAACGGCCUACCAAGGCGACGAUCAGUAGCCGGCCUGAGAGGGGGAUCGGCCACACUGGAACUGAGACACGGUCCAGACUCCUACGGGAGGCAGCAGUGAGGAAUUUUGCGCAAUGGGCGAAAGCCUGACGCAGCAACGCCGCGUGGAUGAUGAAGGUCUUCGGAUUGUAAAGCUCUGUCUUUUGGGACGAUAAUGACGGUACCAAAGGAGGAAGCCACGGCUAACUACGUGCCAGCCGCCGCCGUAAUAC